AUUGAACGCUGGCGGCAUGCUUUACACAUGCAAGUCGAACGGUAACAGGCCGCAAGGUGCUGACGAGUGGCGAACGGGUGAGUAAUGCAUCGGAACGUGCCCAGUCGUGGGGGAUAACGCAGCGAAAGCUGCGCUAAUACCGCAUACGAUCCCUGGAUGAAAGCGGGGGAGCGAAAGGCCUCGCGCGAUUGGAGCGGCCGAUGUCAGAUUAGGUAGUUGGUGGGGUAAAGGCCCACCAAGCCAACGAUCUGUAGCUGGUCUGAGAGGACGACCAGCCACACUGGGACUGAGACACGGCCCAGACUCCUACGGGAGGCAGCAGUGGGGAAUUUUGGACAAUGGGCGCAAGCCUGAUCCAGCAAUGCCGCGUGCAGGAAGAAGGCCUUCGGGUUGUAAACUGCUUUUGUACGGAACGAAAAGCCCUGGGUUAAUACCCUGGGGUCAUGACGGUACCGUAAGAAUAAGCACCGGCUAACUACGUGCCAGCAGCCGCGGUAACAC
rnacentral:rRNA from 1 species